rnacentral:rRNA from 1 species
UACAGAGGCCUCGAGCGUUAGGCGGAAUCACUGGGCUUAAAGCGUGUGUAGGCGGACUUCUAAGUACCUUGUGAAAUCCCACGGCUUACCCGUGGAACGGCUGGGUAUACUGGGAGUCUUGAGCCACUUAGGGGCUACCGGAACAAAUGGUGGAGCGGUGAAAUGCGUAGAUAUCAUUUGGAACGCCAAUGGUGAAAACAGGUAGCUGGGAGUGUGCUGACGCUGAGACACGAAAGCCAGGGGAGCGAACGGG